UACGUAGGGUGCAAGCGUUAAUCGGAAUUACUGGGCGUAAAGCGUGCGCAGGCGGUUUUGUAAGUCUGUCGUGAAAUCCCCGGGCUCAACCUGGGAAUUGCGAUGGAGACUGCAAGGCUAGAAUCUGGCAGAGGGGAGUAGAAUUCCACGUGUAGCAGUGAAAUGCGUAGAGAUGUGGAGGAACACCGAUGGCGAAGGCAGCCCCUGGGUCAAGAUUGACGCUCAUGCACGAAAGCGUGGGGAGCAAACAGG
rnacentral:rRNA from 1 species